rnacentral:rRNA from 1 species
CUCUGUGGAUCAGUGGCGAACGGGUGAGUAACACGUGAGCAAUCUGCCCCUGACUCUGGGAUAAGCGCUGGAAACGGCGUCUAAUACCGGAUACGAGCUGCGAAGGCAUCUUCAGCAGCUGGAAAGAAUUUCGGUCAGGGAUGAGCUCGCGGCCUAUCAGCUUGUUGGUGAGGUAACGGCUCACCAAGGCGUCGACGGGUAGCCGGCCUGAGAGGGUGACCGGCCACACUGGGACUGAGACACGGCCCAGACUCCUACGGGAGGCAGCAGUGGGGAAUAUUGCACAAUGGGCGAAAGCCUGAUGCAGCAACGCCGCGUGAGGGACGACGGCCUUCGGGUUGUAAACCUCUUUUAGCAGGAAAGAAGCGAAAGUGACGGUACCUGCAGAAAAAGCGCCGGCUAACUACGUGCCAGCAGCCGCGGUAAUACGUAGGGCGCAAGCGUUAUCCGGAAUUAUUGGGCGUAAAGAGCUCGUAGGCGGUCUGUCGCGUCUGCUGUGAAAACCCGAGGCUCAACCUCGGGCCUGCAGUGGGUACGGGCAGACUAGAGUGCGGUAGGGGAGAUUGGAAUUCCUGGUGUAGCGGUGGAAUGCGCAGAUA